GAUGAACGCUGGCGGCGUGCCUAAUACAUGCAAGUCGAGCGAACAGACGAGGAGCUUGCUCCUCUGACGUUAGCGGCGGACGGGUGAGUAACACGUGGAUAACCUACCUAUAAGACUGGGAUAACUUCGGGAAACCGGAGCUAAUACCGGAUAAUAUAUUGCACCGCAUGGUUCAAUAGUAAAAGACGGUUUUGCUGUCACUUAUAGAUGGAUCCGCGCCGCAUUAGCUAGUUGGUAAGGUAACGGCUUACCAAGGCAACGAUGCGUAGCCGACCUGAGAGGGUGAUCGGCCACACUGGAACUGAGACACGGUCCAGACUCCUACGGGAGGCAGCAGUAGGGAAUCUUCCGCAAUGGGCGAAAGCCUGACGGAGCAACGCCGCGUGAGUGAUGAAGGUCUUCGGAUCGUAAAACUCUGUUAUUAGGGAAGAACAAAUGUGUAAGUAACUAUGCACGUCUUGACGGUACCUAAUCAGAAAGCCACGGCUAACUACGUG
rnacentral:rRNA from 1 species